rnacentral:rRNA from 1 species
GAGAAUGCCGGUGUGAGUAGCGAAAGACGGGUGAGAAUCCCGUCCACCGAUUGACUAAGGUUUCCAGAGGAAGGCUCGUCCGCUCUGGGUUAGUCGGGUCCUAAGCUGAGGCCGACAGGCGUAGGCGAUGGAUAACAGGUUGAUAUUCCUGUACCACCUAUAAUCGUUUUAAUCGAUGGGGGGACGCAGUAGGAUAGGCGAAGCGUGCGAUUGGAUUGCACGUCUAAGCAGUAAGGCUGAGUAUUAGGCAAAUCCGGUACUCGUUAAGGCUGAGCUGUGAUGGGGAGAAGACAUUGUGUCUUCGAGUCGUUGAUUUCACACUGCCGAGAAAAGCCUCUAGAUAGAAAAUAGGUGCCCGUACCGCAAACCGACACAGGUAGUCAAGAUGAGAAUUCUAAGGUGAGCGAGCGAACUCUCGUUAAGGAACUCGGCAAAAUGACCCCGUAACUUCGGGAGAAGGGGUGCUCUUUAGGGUUAACGCCCAGAAGAGCCGCAGUGAAUAGGCCCAAGCGACUGUUUAUCAAAAACACAGGUCUCUGCUAAACCGUAAGGUGAUGUAUAGGGGCUGACGCCUGCCCGGUGCUGGAAGGUUAAGAGGAGUGGUUAGCUUCUGCGAAGCUACGAAUCGAAGCCCCAGUAAACGGCGGCCGUAACUAUAACGGUCCUAAGGUAGCGAAAUUCCUUGUCGGGUAAGUUCCGACCCGCACGAAAGGCGUAACGAUUUGGGCACUGUCUCAACGAGAGACUCGGUGAAAUCAUAGUACCUGUGAAGAUGCAGGUUACCCGCGACAGGACGGAAAGACCCCGUGGAGCUUUACUGUAGCCUGAUAUUGAAAUUCGGCACAGCUUGUACAGGAUAGGUAGGAGCCUUUGAAACGUGAGCGCUAGCUUACGUGGAGGCGCUGGUGGGAUACUACCCUAGCUGUGUUGGCUUUCUAACCCGCACCACUUAUCGUGGUGGGAGACAGUGUCAGGCGGGCAGUUUGACUGGGGCGGUCGCCUCCUAAAAGGUAACGGAGGCGCUCAAAGGUUCCCUCAGAAUGGUUGGAAAUCAUUCAUAGAGUGUAAAGGCAUAAGGGAGCUUGACUGCGAGACCUACAAGUCGAGCAGGGUCGAAAGACGGACUUAGUGAUCCGGUGGUUCCGCAUGGAAGGGCCAUCGCUCAACGGAUAAAAGCUACCCCGGGGAUAACAGGCUUAUCUCCCCCAAGAGUUCACAUCGACGGGGAGGUUUGGCACCUCGAUGUCGGCUCAUCGCAUCCUGGGGCUGUAGUCGGUCCCAAGGGUUGGGCUGUUCGCCCAUUAAAGCGGUACGCGAGCUGGGUUCAGAACGUCGUGAGACAGUUCGGUCCCUAUCCGUCGUGGGCGUAGGAAAUUUGAGAGGAGCUGUCCUUAGUACGAGAGGACCGGGAUGGACAUACCUCUGGUGUACCAGUUGUCGUGCCAACGGCAUAGCUGGGUAGCUAUGUGUGGACGGGAUAAGUGCUGAAAGCAUCUAAGCAUGAAGCCCCCCUCAAGAUGAGAUUUCCCAACUUCGGUUAUAAGAUCCCUCAAAGAUGAUGAGGUUAAUAGG